UUUUGACAUCAUUGAAAUUUUCCUAUGGAAAGUUUCCAUUUUAAAGGAACUAUAUUGUCUGCCUAAAUAUUUUUUGAUAGAAAAAGAAGAAAAUAUCCGGAUGCUUACUGACUCAAUCAUAACAAUUUCAAUCAUACUGAGGAGCACUUCACUCCACAAAUAGUCCCACUGAUGUUUAUGAAGUACGAAUACUACUAAUUCUCCAGCAGGGAAUGGCUCUCUAGGGCUGAGCCUCUUAGGACUUGAACCAGAGUGAGAAAACCUCCCAGACAUUGCAGAAUAGCAGCCCAGAAAAUUGUUCAAGCAUUCAUGUCUGACAUGCGAGCAAUUCAGGAUUUGAUUUUUAGAGGAUUGGGAGAAGGGGCUUGAAGUGAAGAUAAUCAGAGGAUCUUAGAGCAGAGAAAAGGGGCUGUGAAAAAAGCUAAUGCUGAAAGCACUGCUGAAGGAGUCAGUCCCAGGAGGAGAUCCAACCAGCCAAGAGCUAAAGAACAAUAAUCUUUUCCUCUGACCCAGAAAUUGCUGGAAAAUUAUUAUUGAAGAGAAAAAUCAACUACAUGGAAAUUUGAAAAGUAACCUUCGGAGGAAGGAACACUGAACUGAUGUGCUUCUUUGACUAUAGUUGCUUAUCUGUGCUUUGUUAUAUACUUUGUUAGAUGUUGUUCAGUGACUGUAAAAUGAUUCCUGAGGUGGGGCACCAACUUACCCUUGAACAUAGUGCAUGGAUUUUUAAUUACUUUGUUGUUUUAGUUGUGUGUGCUCUAUUCAUGUACUAGUUUUCCAACCCUGAUAGGAAGGUGACGGAACUGAAGUUCUGUUCAGCUGAUUGACACAAUAACUUGUGCUUUUGGGUGUCUCUGUUUUUCUGAAUGCUGAAAUCUCCACAAAAUACAUUUAGAUCCCUAUUGUCAAUCUUAGACUUUGCCUCCAUGAGAAAGUUGUAUCGGUUGCAAUCCUCUGAUGUAGACGCUCUUACUUUGGUUUAAGAUUGGCUCACAUCAAUUUAGAUUAAGAUAUUUCAUUACCAACUUCAGCUAAAUCAAUAUAAGAAUCUCUUAAACUAGAAUAAAAUUGUCCACAUAGUGGGGAUUGAACCAUGCUAGUUAAAUCGUGAGUACAACUUCCUCUGGAAGCUGAAGCCAGACAAACUCAAACUGGAAAUAAGACACAUUUUUAACAGUGAGGGUGGUUAACCAAUGGAACAAACUAUCAAGGGAAGUAGUAGAUUCUCCACCACUUGAUGUCUUCAUAUCAGGACUGGGAGCCUUGCUGGAAGAUAUGCUUUAGUCAAACACAAGUUAUCGGGUGCCAUAUUCAGAUAGCUAGGUCAAAUUUAAGGGCCUAUGUUACACAGGGGAUCAGGUUAAAUGGUCUAGCAGUUCCUCUUCUGGCUUUCAACUCUGUAAAACUAUGGGGAGUGGAUGGAGCCUUCAUUAUACACAAGCCAGAUCUACCUGGAUGCAAAGUCAGCAUAUUCUCCCUGUCUCCCUCUAAGCAAAACAGACGCUACACAAGAUGUGACUCAGAAGGUUGUCACAGUCCCUUUCCAGAGCGCCUUAUGGAGUUUGCAGCCAUAUGCUACCCCCUACACAGGCCUGAGAGUAAACUAUAAUCUAGCAAGUAGUCAAUAAAAACAGAUCUAUAAAUAUGAAUUUCACAGUUAUGGUUGUGUACAUUCAAACCACAAUUAUGUAGCAAAAUAGAGCACAUUGGAAGAGAAGAACAAAGCAGUUCUAUAUAUCAUACUCUUUUGUUCUCAUCUCCUCCAUCCCAAUUCCUCUCUCAGCUUUCCCUCUAAAAUGGAUAACAAACAUUUACUAUCUGAAGGAGAAAUACAGGCAGCUCAUAGAUUUCCUAGGUAGAUGUGCCAAUGUGAUAUAUGCCAUCAUGUGCCAGCAAUGCCCCUCUGCCAUGUACAUUGGCCAAACCGGACAGU